rnacentral:lncRNA from 1 species
AAUGCUCACAAGUCUGUGUCAUAGCUCCGACGAAGGAUUAAAAUCCUCAUCUUUCCAGUAGAGACAUCAUUGGAAUUCAUUUUUGAUCUCAGCAGUGCUGUGAUGUUUCUCUGCUCUCUGGAGAUAUUUUCUGUUCCGUCUCAAAGCUGUCUGCUUUGCAGGGCAUGGGAAAAAAUAACAGACCGUACUUCUCAGUGGAACAAGGGAAGAUACGACUGGCCAAUGAAGUACAAUCUCCAGGAGACCCAGGGAUGAGCUAAUGACGAGAGACUGUCUCCAAUGGAAUUUGUCCUACACAAGUCUGCAGUUAAAGUGCUCAGCGUGCAACAAAAUUAGGCCUUGUUGCUGUGUUAUAACGACUCUGACUCCAUUUCAUCAAUUCCUCCUGUAUAAUUUGAGCCCAUCAUUAGCUACUGGCACAGUCCUCUCUAGAGGUACCAAAUGCUGUCCCCUAUCACGUGGCCUUUGAAUUUUUGAUUUACGGCAGGUUCAUUUUCUACUAUGAUAUUUUCCCUGCAUUAGCCUAAUCCUUUGUAACCAUCCAUUCACUGUAGGACAAAGCUGUACUUGUUUUGGUAUUACAUAGCUUCCACUGAAGUCGACUUUGAUUUUGAUUUUGUCAUGAAUAAAGAAAAGAAAGUUUAUCCUGUGCA